rnacentral:rRNA from 1 species
UAGGGAAUCUUCCGCAAUGGGCGAAAGCCUGACGGAGCAAUGCCGCGUGAGUGAGGAAGGUUUUCGGAUCGUAAAGCUCUGUUGCCAGGGAAGAACGCUUGGGAGAGUAACUGCUCUCAAGGUGACGGUACCUGAGAAGAGAGCCCCGGCUAACUACGUGCCAGCAGCCGCGGUAAUACGUAGGGGGCAAGCGUUGUCCGGAAUUAUUGGGCGUAAAGCGCGCGCAGGCGGUCAUUUAAGUCUGGUGUUUAAUCCCGGGGCUCAACCCCGGAUCGCACUGGAAACUGGGUGACUUGAGUGCAGAAGAGGAGAGUGGAAUUCCACGUGUAGCGGUGAAAUGCGUAGAUAUGUGGAGGAACACCAGUGGCGAAGGCGACUCUCUGGGCUGUAACUGACGCUGAGGCGCGAAAGCGUGGGGAGCAAACAGGAUUAGAUACCCUGGUGGUCCAGCCGUAAACGAUGAGUGCUAGG